rnacentral:lncRNA from 1 species
UGGGUUCUUAUCCCAUUCGGAACCAAAUUUGAACAAGUUUUUCUUUACACUUCUAAACAUUUAUGAUUCAUCUCUAGCACUUGUAAUCAAUCAAAUUAAUUGUUUUAUAAUUUAUUCUUUUUUUUUUUUUUGUAAACCAACAUUAAUAUUAAAAUGACUCUAACUCCAUUUCUGGAGGAGAUGAACCAAGAAAAAAUCUUGGGUGGAGAUACAUAAGGAACGGAAAGCAAAAAGAGAUUUAGACCAAAGUUCAAAAGUCUCCGUUAAGACAUCUUCAAACUCGUCUGCGAGGCCACUGAAACUGUGAAAAAUCAUGAGAUCUUGACAAUUCGAAGAACAAGCCCGCCUUAAAACACCCAAAGCUAAGGCCGC